rnacentral:lncRNA from 1 species
GGACUUUGAAGGUUCUCCACCCGGUGCCCCACCCUCCCCACAGAGCUCUUCCUCAUUCUGUCUCUGUUCCCUGCUUUGGCCAGUGGCUAUCCUCAAUGUGACCCACACUACACUUCUGCCCACACUGCAGCUCUUUACCCAGUUACCCUCCAGUUCCUCACAACGUAUGCCUAUCUCAGUCAUGCCCCGGACUGCAUUGAAGCCAGACUGCCCUUUUCCCCAAGGCAGGGUCAUGAUUUGCCAAAGGUUUCGUGUGUGU